GCUGCCUCUCUCGGUUUGUGAUAUGAUUGACAGGAAAUGCAGAUCUUUUAUCUGGGGUGAUUUUGAGAGUUAGAAAGGUUCACACUAUUCCUUGGCGCAAGGUUUGCACUACUAAAAAUGAUGAGGGCCUUGGGAUGAGAUUGAAUAGAGAUUUCUUGAGGAAAUUCGGUUGGAAGUUAAUGCCAAAGAAGCCUUUCUUGUGGGCUACUCUCAUUCGAGGUAAGUACAAGUGUGGUGCGGGCGUUCUUCCUAAAGUCCAAAAGAGAAUAUCUGAAUCCAAUUUUUGGAGGGGUCUUUGCAAAUCUUGGAAUGAUUUGCAAAAUCAAGUUUCUUGGCGGGUUGGAAAUGGUUUGGAGACUGAUUUUUGGAGCCAUGAUUGGAUUCCCUUCAUUGGUCCUGUAGUUGAUAAAGCAACUAUCUAUUUGAGUAAUGUUGAUAAGGAAGCCAAGGUCUUCGAUUUUACAAAGCAGAAUGGCGGUUGGAAUGAAGAAAAAUUGUGUGUGGUGUUGGACUCAAAUAUUUGCUUUAUUAUUUUGUGUCUCCCUCCUCCCCGAGUUUCCAAUCAUGUUGAUAUCCCAGUUUGGAAAGCCUGUGACUGAUGGCAGAUUUACUCUGGAAUCUACUUAUGCUUCCAUUUCAUCUCAGUCUGGUCAGGCCAAUCCCCUCUUUAAAGUUGUUUGGAGAUGGUCGGGUCCUGAGAGGACCAGAAUUCUUUUAUGGAAAACUGCUCAGCAAGCCUUAGUUACCAAUGAUUUUCGGGCUAAGAAAGGUAUGAGUUUGUCUAAUGCUUGUCAUGUGUGUGAUGUUGCAUCUGAGAAUGCGGUGCAUUGUUUCAGGGAUUGCCCGCAUGCAAUUCAGGUAUGGCAGAUUUUGUAAGGUCCUUCCCUUCCCCUGAACUUUUUCAAUUUGGAUUUUAAUAGUUGACUAGCCUUCAAUCUCUCUCAAACCUUCCCUAAUCAGUUAUCCAAGGGUGUAUUGUUUUGUGUGGCUCUGGCAGGGUUAUGGGGGGCCAAGAAUGACUUGUUUUUUCGUGGGAAGACUCAUAUGCCAUCUCCUUUGCGGGAUCAUUUUAGUGUGGUUCUGUUCUCCUUUGCAACGUUCCUUGAAUCUUGUUCUGUUUUUGCAGAUGAGCUCGAGGCUAUUAAAUGUUAAUAUCGGUUUAAAGUUGGCGUCUAAGAAAGGGUUUAGUGAUCUGAUUGUUGAAUCAGACUCUCUGGUUGCCAUCAAGCUUCUCACCGGGAGUUGUAGUACUAAUCAUUCCUCUAAUCAACUUGUGUGCAAUAUUGGUCAAUUGGCUGAUCAAAGAAGUUUGGUUUGGCAUCAUGUUUUCUGGGGAGUCAACCAAGUGGCGGAUUCUUUAGCUAAAUCAGUAACAUUCAUGGUGAUGAUGAGCACGGGUUUAACAUGCAUGCCGUUGCAGGCAUUGAGUUAUGACGUGGGCGUCAUGAGUUAUGACGUAGUUGCUGAUCCAAGUGAACUGAUCCAUUAGAGAAAGAGAGAUCACGGGUUCUAAAUAUAAAAAGAAAAUGAAUUGAAGUUUACACAUGCAACAUCCCUGAAUUGGUUUAUUUUUAGUUACCUAAACUUAAAGCAAAAACAACCUAGUUUGCUAUGGUAUAUAUACAAAUGCUUCUAUGCGGCUAUUACUACCUCAAUUACAAUUCACAGUCACACUUAGUUUGCGUCAUUAAUCAUAUAUCGAUCCUCAAUAUCCCUAUAUUAGGAAAGGAAACAUGUCUAUUGAGGCUAUGGCAAUGGCAGGCAAGGAUUACAAAGAAUGUUGCAUCACUUUGGAAGAGUGUGACCCACAACAACCUCCUCUGUACCUUGUGGCUGAGCCUAAUGAAUUAGUUAAGGUGGCUGCAGUGAAGAUCAAAGCAAAGAUCCGAGACUGGGCAAAAGCCGUUGCUUCAUCAACUUCCAAGCAACUAAGUGUCGCUAAUGAGAAGUGCAAAUUAAGUACAUGUAGUUAGCUAGUAAUUUGUCAUAGAAAAUAUAAAAAAAAACAAAAAACAAAACAUAGCUAGUUUGUUUUAGGAACAAAACAAUGGUUGCCUAAGCUUAACCCAGAAAUUGAAUACCAUGUUCAAUUUGGUAGCAUUAAUAAGCAAUAGCUAUCGACAUCCCAUGGUAUGUUUAUUAAUGCUAUAUAUAUGGAUGCAAAUUGUAACGUACGAGGAAUUGGACAAUCUCUUUGUUCAUU